UAUUUUUAUUAUUUUUAUAAAUUUAUUUUUAUUGGUGUUCAAUUGGAGCCCUUUUAUUUUAAACCAUGGUAACAGGUGCCUUUGCAGAAGUGAUUUCCUAAGUCCUGGGGUCUUAUUUUUUAUUUUUUUUUUAAGAUUUCAUUUAUUUAUUCAUGGGAGACAGACAGAGGCAGAGACACAGGCAGAGGGAGAAUCAGGUUCUAUGCAGGGAGCCGGAUGUGGGACUCGAUCCGGGGACUCCAGAAUCAUGCCCAGAUGCUCAACCACUGAGCCACCUGGGCAUCCCCAAGUCCUGGGGUCUUAAGAGGGUUGGUGUCUUGGACUUACGGAGGGCUUAGCUUGGGAAAAUCAAGGUCAGUUGAUUCCCAAAUCAGCUUCAGUCCCUAAAAAAUAGUUUUGGCCUCUCUUUAAAUUCUUGGGCUGCAGUGUCCGCAUCCUGCAACUGCUGCAUCUUUGUGUGUAUUUUCUAUGCACCCGUAUAUAUGUCAUUUUGCAGUGAAUCCGACUUACUUUUGCAGGUCAACAAAUCCCACAGAUUAGUCUGUGUUGCCUUUUCGUUUUGCUGGAAUUGAGUUUGUUAACCUUUCUCGGGAAAAAAGGAAGCACGCAGCAUUUGUCUUUAUUCAACCCUCUUCCUUUUCAUGGUUCUGGCCUGUGGCGUGGCCUGUGGCGUGGCCUGUGGCGUGGCCUGUGGUGUGGCCUGUGGCAUCAGUCUCUGCUUACCCCAGGCCACCGAGUAGAAGCGCGACAGAGAGGCGCGUGUUGCUCGUUGGCUUGUGUUUAAACAGCUGAACACCUGGCUGCUCGUGUGCAGGUGCACAGAGCUCUGGAGAAGGGGUUGCAACUGAAGACACACAGAAGAAUGGAUGCGAGGUGCAGAGACACCUGGAGUUUGGAGCCGGAAGGCCCUGGGAGCCCGCGUGGUCCAUCUCACAGAGAGGCCCCUGUCGCCCCCGGGCCCUGUCCGGAGGACAAGCAGGCCGGGCCCGAAGCGCAGGACAGGGCCCUCGCCCGCCUCCACCCAGCCGGGUGGCUCCCAGGGUGGGAUUCGGGGCGCUCGCCUCACCGGCCGCACCCCCGAGCCUGGAGCCUGUGCGCCCAUUUGUCGCCCCCCGUUCGGACGUGAACCGGAGUCCCGACCGGGUGUCCGGGCCGAGCGGCACCCCUGCGUGUCACAGCGGCCCUCCUCGGUUGGCACCCCCGUCGCUGGAAACACUCGCCUAGGAAGCCCCCCGGUGCCUCUCCGGGGAAGCAAGCGGCCUGCACCCCCUAUCUGGGCCCCCCUUCACCCACUUCCAGGGGGUUCUCUGAGUGCUUGCUUGCUCCAGGGUCUUCGGGGCUGA
rnacentral:lncRNA from 1 species